GAGUUUGAUCAUGGCUCAGGACGAACGCUGGCGGCGUGCUUAACACAUGCAAGUCGAACGGUGACCUCUCCUUCGGGAGGGCGAUCAGUGGCGAACGGGGUGAGUAACACGUGGGCAACCUGCCCCUAGCUCUGGGAUAACUCCGGGAAACCGGGCUAAUACCGGAUACGACCUCGGAGGACAUCCUCUGAGGUGGAAAGAAUUUCGGCUAGGGAUGGGCCCGCGGCCUAUCAGCUUGUUGGUGAGGUAACGGCCCACCAAGGCGACGACGGGUAGCCGGCCUGAGAGGGCGACCGGCCACACUGGGACUGAGACACGGCCCAGACUCCUACGGGAGGCAGCAGUGGGAAUAUUGCGCAAUGGGCGAAAGCCUGACGCAGCGACGCCGCGUGAGGGACGAAGGCCUCGGUGUAACCUACUUCUAGCAGGACGAAGCGAAAGU
rnacentral:rRNA from 1 species